GAUGAACGCUGGCGGCGUGCUUAACACAUGCAAGUCGAACGGUAAAGCCGAGCUUUCUCUGUGUGCCAGUGUCGCACGGGUGAGUAACACGUGAGCAUACUCCGCCUGUCUCUGUGGUAAGCGCUGAGGAAGCCGCGUCUAACACGAUAUGAGCUGCGACCGCAUAGUCAGCAGGUUGGAAAAUUUUUCGGUCUGGGAUGGGCUCACGGCCUAUCAGCUUGUUGGUGAGGUAAUGGCUCACCAAGGCGUCGACGGGUAGCCGGCCUGAGAGGGUGACCGGCCACACUGGGACUGAGAUACGGCCCAGACUCCUACGGGAGGCAGCAGUGGGGAAUAUUGCACAAUGGGCGGAAGCCUGAUGCAGCAACGCCGCGUGAGGGAUGACGGCCUUCGGGUUGUAAACCUCUUUUAGCAGGGAAGAAGCGAAAGUGACGGUACCGGCAGAAAAAGCGCCGGCUAACUACGUG
rnacentral:rRNA from 1 species